UGUGGUUCCGAAAACUUACUUGUCUCUC
rnacentral:piRNA from 1 species